rnacentral:rRNA from 1 species
AUUGAACGCUGGCGGCAUGCUUUACACAUGCAAGUCGAACGGUAACAGGCUUUCGGGUGCUGAUGAGUGGCGAACGGGUGCGUAAUGCAUCGGAACGUGCCCAGCGCUGGGGUUUAGCGCAGCGUAAGCUAUGCUAAUAUAGCAUGUGAUCUGAGGAUGAACGCGGGGGACCGAGCAGGAAUGUUUGGCCUCGCGCGUCUGGAUCGGCCGAUGUCGGAUUAGGUAGUUGGUGGGGUAAAGGCCUACCAAGCCGCCGAUCUGUAGCUGGUCUGAGAGGACGAUAAGCGACACUGGAACUGGGACACGGACAAGACGCCUAAGGGAGGCAGCAGUGGGGAAUGUGGGACAAUAGGCGCAAGCAUGAUACAGCAAUGCCGCGUGCGGGAAGAAGGCCUUCGGGUUGUAAAGAGCUUUUGUAGGGAACGAAAAGCCUCUGGCUAAUACCAAGCGCUAGUGACGGUACCGUAAGAAGAAGCACCGGCUAACUACGUG